rnacentral:rRNA from 1 species
AACGAACGCUGGCGGCAGGCCUAACACAUGCAAGUCGAACGCUGCAGCAAUGCAGAGUGGCAGACGGGUGAGUAACGCGUGGGAACCUUCCCAGUGGUACGGAAUAGCCCAGGGAAACUUGGGGUAAUACCGUAUAAGCCCCUAGGGGGAAAGAUUUAUCGCCAUUGGAUGGGCCCGCGUCGGAUUAGCUAGUUGGUGAGGUAACGGCUCACCAAGGCGACGAUCCGUAGCUGGUCUGAGAGGAUGAUCAGCCACACUGGGACUGAGACACGGCCCAGACUCCUACGGGAGGCAGCAGUGGGGAAUAUUGGACAAUGGGCGCAAGCCUGAUCCAGCCAUGCCGCGUGCGGGAUGACGGCCUUCGUGGUUGUAAACCGCUUUCAGCAGGGACGAAAAUGACGGUACCUGCAGAAGAAGCUCCGGCUAACUACGUGCCAGCAGCCGCCGUAA